rnacentral:rRNA from 1 species
CGCAUCUGUGCAUGCAGCAUAUCAAUAAGCGGAGGAAAAGAAACUAACAAGGAUUCCCCUAGUAACGGCGAGUGAAGCGGGAAGAGCUCAAAUUUGAAAUCUUAAAGGGUUUCCCUUUACGAAUUGAUAGUUUAAAGAAGUGUUUUCUGUUGAGGUUUUGGUAAUAGUUCUUUGGAAUAGGACAUCAUAGAGGGUGAGAAUCCCGUAUUUGACCUUUACUUUCAACUUUGUGAUACACUUUCAAAGAGUCGGAUUGUUUGGGAAUGCAGUCCAAAAUGGGUGGUAAAUUCCAUCCUAAAGCUAAAUAUUGGCGAGAGACCGAUAGCGAACAAGUACCGUGAGGGGAAGAUGAAAAGAACUUUGAAAAGAGAGUUAAACAGUACGUGAAAUUGUCAAAAGGGAAGCGUUUGACACCAGUGUUGUUUUUCUGAAAAUCAAUUAAAGAACUGUUUAUGCUAAGCUGUUUAGACUUUAUCAGCUAUACUGUUUAGUUUUGAGCUUUUCUUUAAUGCACUUUUCAGUUAACAAGUCAACAUCAAUUUCUUUUGCUGUAAAAAAGCUUGAGGAAGGUGGCUUGAGAUUCGUCUUAAGUGUUUAUAGCCUCUUGCCUAUGCAGUCGGAGAGAUUGAGGUCUGCAGCGUAGAUCCUUCGGGGCUAAAUGCAUUUGUGCUAAGUUAUAGCAUUUUAUAGACAACUUGUUGACUAUGAUUUGUCUUGUAGCUUACUCGCUUAUGUUAUUUUACCUACGCUUAGGAUGUUGAACGCGCACAGAGUCUC